rnacentral:rRNA from 1 species
UACGUAGGUGGCAAGCGUUGUCCGGAUUUAUUGGGCUUAAAGGGUGCGUAGGCGGUUCCAUAAGUCAGUGGUGAAAUACGGCAGCUCAACUGUCGAGGUGCCAUUGAUACUGCGGAACUUGAGUACUGAUGAGGUAGGCGGAAUUGACGGUGUAGCGGUGAAAUGCUUAGAUAUCGUCAAGAACACCGAUAGCGAAGGCAGCUUACCAAGCAGUAACUGACGCUGAGGCACGAAAGUGCGGGGAUCAAACAGG